AACUAACGCUGGCGGCGCGUCUUAAACAUUCAAGUCAAACGGGUAGCAAUACCAGUGGCGAACGGGUGAGUAAUACAUGGAUAACCUACCUUUAAGUUGGGAAUAACACAGAGAAAUUUGUGCUAAUACCGAAUGUGACGGUUCAGCAAAGGCUGGAUUGGUUAAAGCAGCAAUGCGCUUAGAGAUGGGUCCAUGGCUGAUUAGCUAGUUGGUGGGGUAAAGGCCCACCAAGGCGACGAUCAGUAGCCGGCCUGAGAGGGUGAGCGGCCACAAUGGAACUGAGACACGGUCCAUACUCCUACGGGAGGCAGCAGUUAAGAAUCGUGCUCAAUGGGCGAAAGCCUGAAGCAGCGACGCCGCGUGAACGAUGAAGGUCUUCGGAUUGUAAAGUUCAGUAAGUAGGGACGAAAAAAAUGACGGCACCUACCUAAAGCACCGGCUAACUACGUGCCAGCCGCCGCGGUAAGAC
rnacentral:rRNA from 1 species